UAUGAAUCUAGUGGAAUCACUUCCGCACAAACUAGAUGAAUGAAACCAGUGUGCGGAAAUGCUUCUGCUACAUUUUUA
ncrna:Anolis carolinensis (green anole) microRNA aca-mir-147 precursor